GUCGUUAUAGUAUAAUGGUAAGUAUUCCCGCCUGUCACGCGAGUGACCCGGGUUCGAUCCCCGACAAAGGUG
rnacentral:tRNA from 1 species